rnacentral:rRNA from 1 species
AGUGAACGCUGGCGGCGUGCUUAACACAUGCAAGUCGAACGAGAACGGAUUAUAGCUUGCUAUAAUCGUCAGCUAAGUGGCGCACGGGUGAGUAAUGUAUAGGUAAUAUGCCUCUUACUAAGGGAUAACAAAUGGAAACGUUUGCUAAUACCUUAUACUCCUUAUUAACAGAAGUUAAUAAGGGAAAGAUUUAUUGGUAAGAGAUUAGCCUGUAUUGUAUCAGUUAGUUGGUGGGGUAAUGGCUUAUCAAGACUAUGACACAUAACUGGUUUGAGAGGAUGAUCAGUAACACUGGAACUGAGACACGGUCCAGACUCCUACGGGAGGCAGCAGUGGGGAAUAUUGCACAAUGGACGAAAGUCUGAUGCAGCAACGCCGCGUGGAGGAUGACACAUUUCGGUGCGUAAACUCCUUUUAUAUGAGAAGAUAAUGACGGUAUUAUAUGAAUAAGCACCGGCUAACUCCGUGCCAGCCGCCGCCGUAACAC